AUAAUCGCGGCGGCAGGCUACCAUGCAGUCGAGCGGUAGCACAGAGAAGCUUGCUUCUUGGGUGACGAGCGGCGGACGGGUGAGUAAUGCAUAGGAAUCUGCCCGAUAGUGGGGGAUAACCUGGGGAAACCCAGGCUAAUACCGCAUACGUCCUACGGGAGAAAGGGGGCUCCGGCUCCCGCUAUGGGAUGAGCCUAUGUCGGAUUAGCUAGUUGGUGAGGUAACGGCUCACCAAGGCAACGAUCCGUAGCUGGUCUGAGAGGAUGAUCAGCCACAUCGGGACUGAGACACGGCCCGAACUCCUACGGGAGGCAGCAGUGGGGAAUAUUGGACAAUGGGCGCAAGCCUGAUCCAGCCAUGCCGCGUGUGUGAAGAAGGCCCUCGGGUUGUAAAGCACUUUCAGCGAGGAAGAACGCCUAGCGGUUAAUACCCGCUAGGAAAGACAUCACUCGCAGAAGAAGCACCGGCUAACUCCGUGCCAGCAGCCGCGGUAAUACGGAGGGUGCAAGCGUUAAUCGGAAUUACUGGGCGUAAAGCGCGCGUAGGUGGCUUGAUAAGCCGGUUGUGAAAGCCCCGGGCUCAACCUGGGAACGGCAUCCGGAACUGUCAAGCUAGAGUGCAGGAGAGGAAGGUAGAAUUCCCGGUGUAGCGGUGAAAUGCGUAGAGAUCGGGAGGAAUACCAGUGGCGAAGGCGGCCUUCUGGACUGACACUGACACUGAGGUGCGAAAGCGUGGGUAGCAAACAGGAUUAGAUACCCUGGUAGUCCACGCCGUAAACGAUGUCGACCAGCCGUUGGGUGCCUAGCGCACUUUGUGGCGAAGUUAACGCGAUAAGUCGACCGCCUGGGGAGUACGGCCGCAAGGUUAAAACUCAAAUGAAUUGACGGGGGCCCGCACAAGCGGUGGAGCAUGUGGUUUAAUUCGAUGCAACGCGAAGAACCUUACCUACUCUUGACAUCCUGCGAAUUCGGUAGAGAUACCUUAGUGCCUUCGGGAACGCAGAGACAGGUGCUGCAUGGCUGUCGUCAGCUCGUGUGUGAAAUGUUGGGG
rnacentral:rRNA from 1 species